rnacentral:rRNA from 1 species
AUUGAACGCUGGCGGCAGGCCUAACACAUGCAAGUCGAGCGAGCGGCGGACGGGUGAGUAAUGUAUGGGGACUGCCCGAUAGAGGGGGAUAACUACUGGAAACGGUGGCUAAUACCGCAUACUAUCGGAUAACCCAUAUGGGAUUAGCUAGUAGGUGGGGUAAAGGCUCACCUAGGCGACGAUCUCUAGCUGGUCUGAGAGGCUGAUCAUCCACACUGGGACUAAGACACGGCCCCGCCUCCUACGGAGGCAGCAGUGGUGAAUAUUGCACAAUGGGCGCAGGCCUGAUGCAACCAUGCCACGGGUAUGAAGAGGGCCUUAGGGUUGUAAAGUACUUUCAGCGGGGAGGCGUUACCCGCAGAAGAGGCACCGACUAACUAAGUGCCAGCAGCCGCGGUAAUAC